AUUGAACGCUGGCGGCAUGCCUUACACAUGCAAGUCGAACGGUAACAGGUCUUCGGAUGCUGACGAGUGGCGAACGGGAGAGUAAUACAUCGGAACGUGCCCGAUCGUGGGGGAUAACGCAGCGAAAGCUGUGCUAAUACCGCAUACGAUCUACGGAUGAAAGCGGGGGAUCGCAAGACCUCGCGCGGACGGAGCGGCCGAUGGCAGAUUAGGUAGUUGGUGGGAUAAAAGCUUACCAAGCCGACGAUCUGUAGCUGGUCUGAGAGGACGACCAGCCACACUGGGACUGCGACACGGCCCAGACUCCUACGGGAGGCAGCAGUGGGGAAUUGUGGACAAUGGGCGCAAGCCUGAUCCAGCCAUGCCGCGUGCAGGAUGAAGGCCUUCGGGUUGUAAACUGCUUUUGUACGGAACGAAAAAGUUCUCUCUAAUACAGGGGGCGAAUGACGGUACCGUAAGAAUAAGCACCGGCUAACUACGUGCCAGCCGCCGCGGUAAGAC
rnacentral:rRNA from 1 species